GGCGCAAGCCUGAUCCAGCAAUGCCGCGUGCAGGAUGAAGGCCUUCGGGUUGUAAACUGCUUUUGUACGGAGCGAAAAGGCUUCCACUAAUACUGGGGGCUCAUGACGGUACCGUAAGAAUAAGCACCGGCUAACUACGUGCCAGCAGCCGCGGUAAUACGUAGGGUGCGAGCGUUAAUCGGAAUUACUGGGCGUAAAGCGUGCGCAGGCGGUUAUGUAAGACAGAUGUGAAAUCCCCGGGCUUAACCUGGGAACUGCAUUUGUGACUGCAUAGCUAGAGUACGGUAGAGGGGGAUGGAAUUCCGCGUGUAGCAGUGAAAUGCGUAGAUAUGCGGAGGAACACCGAUGGCGAAGGCAAUCCCCUGGACCUGUACUGACGCUCAUGCACGAAAGCGUGGGGAGCAAACAGGAUUAGAUACCCUGGUAGUCCACGCCCUAAACGAUGUCAACUGGUUGUUGGGUCUUCACUGACUCAGUAACGAAGCUAACGCGUGAAGUUGACCGCCUGGGGAGUACGGCCGCAAGGUUGAAACUCAAAGA
rnacentral:rRNA from 1 species